UACGUAGGGUGCGAGCGUUAAUCGGAAUUACUGGGCGUAAAGUGUGCGUAGGCGGCUGAGCAAGUCGAGUGUGAAAGCCCCGAGCUUAACUUGGGAAUUGCGCUCGAAACUACUUGGCUCGAGUGUGGCAGAGGAAGGUGGAAUUCCACGUGUAGCGGUGAAAUGCGUAGAGAUGUGGAGGAACACCGAUGGCGAAGGCAGCCUUCUGGGCCAACACUGACGCUGAGGAGCGAAAGCCAGGGGAGCAAACGGG
rnacentral:rRNA from 1 species